GAUGAACGCUGGCGGCGUGCCUAAUACAUGCGAGUCGAGCGAACGGACGAGAAGCUUGCUUUUCUGAUGUUAGCGGCGGACGGGUGAGUAACACGUGGAUAACCUACCUAUAAGACUGGGAUAACUUCGGGAAACCGGAGCUAAUACCGGAUAAUAUUUUGAACCGCAUGGUUCAAAAGUGAAAGACGGUCUUGCUGUCACUUAUAGAUGGAUCCGCGCUGCAUUAGCUAGUUGGUAAGGUAACGGCUUACCAAGGCAACGAUGCAUAGCCGACCUAAGAGGGUGAUCGGCCACACUGGAACUGAGACACGGUCCAGACUCCUACGGGAGGCAGCAGUAGGGAAUCUUCCGCAAUGGGCGAAAGCCUGACGGAGCAACGCCGCGUGAGUGAUGAAGGUCUUCGGAUCGUAAAACUCUGUUAUUAGGGAAGAACAUAUGUGUAAGUAACUGUGCACAUCUUGACGGUACCUAAUCAGAAAGCCACGGCUAACUACGUG
rnacentral:rRNA from 1 species